rnacentral:rRNA from 1 species
AUACGGAGGAUCCGAGCGUUAUCCGGAUUUAUUGGGUUUAAAGGGUGCGCAGGCGGCCAUUUAAGUCAGCGGUUAAAUCGUGGGGCUCAACCCCAUUCUGCCGUUGAUACUGGGUGGCUUGAUUGCGGUCGAGGUUGGCGGAAUUCGUUGUGUAGCGGUGAAAUGCAUAACUAUGACGAAGAACACCGAUUGCGUAGGCGGCUGACCAGCCCGGAAAUGUCUCUCAUGCACGAAAGGGCGGGGAUCAAACAGGAUUAGAUACCCUGGUCAUCCGGACAGUAAACGAUGAAUACUUGUUUUCGGCGACAGAAGGUCGGAGCCAAAGCGAAAGCAAUAAGGAAUCCACCUGGGGAGUACGCCGGCGACGGUGAAACUCAAAGGAAUUGACGGGG